rnacentral:misc_RNA from 1 species
CGACUCGACGUUAAAUAAAAUCAAGAAAAAAGCGUUUCGAAAAUAUCGCUGCGACAUCGUAGGAAUCCUGUAACAGGGACAGGGAAUUCAGCUCAAAACCGGAUGCGCAUGGAAGGUGAGGCGUGUUUGCGAGUAAACACUUUUUCACUAGCAACACCAGACGACAAGGCAGAGCCACGGAAUGGCUCUCCGAGAUUAGAUAACAGUUGGAACGUUUUGUACAGUCGACUUACUCAAGCGAGCAACAUCCUCGAGACGCGACUAGGUCCACGGUUUCAGUAGAUGAAACGGUAUAAAAGAUGUUCGACGUUUAUGGCGUAAGCAAAUGCUCAUCGACGCGCACAAUGGACAUAAAGAAGCCGAGAGAAACGUUUAAACUCGGAUCAAUAAGCGGCAAGCAUCUUCGAGACAGAGUUUUGUCUAGCUCCCCAGCCAUACGCUUGGACGAGAAGCGAAGUCGCAAGAGAAUUCCGAACUGGCGAACUUUGCCAAAUGUAUGGAGGAUCGGUGAAAGCAUUUUUGAUCGAACCUCCAGGUUGCGAUGUAUUUUUAACCUUUUGUGGCAAUAUUUCGCAGUUGUAUUUUAAAUUUAUAACGUAUACUGCUGGCAAAAGUUAGGGAUCAAUCGACGUUUAAGCAAAGCUAGGCGAAUGUUUCUCUUUACGUUCUGCGAUAAAUAUAUCUAUCGAUUGCCAUAUACUUGUAUAUUUGAUAAUAUGAAGUUUAAAAAAGUGUAAU